AGGGAAUUUUCGGCAAUGGGGGAAACCCUGACCGAGCAACGCCGCGUGAACGACGAAGUACUUCGGUAUGUAAAGUUCUUUUAUCAGGGAAGAAUGGCUUAUGGAAAAAUAAGCGUGACGGUACCUGAAGAAUAAGCCCCGGCUAACUAUGUGCCAGCAGCCGCGGUAAUACAUAGGGGGCAAGCGUUAUCCGGAAUUAUUGGGCGUAAAGGGUGCGUAGGUGGCACACUAAGUCUUUGGUGUAAGUGCAAGGCUCAACCUUGUGAUGCUAAAGAAACUAGUGAGCUUGAGUGUGGUAGAGGCAAGUGGAAUUCCAUGUGUAGCGGUAAAAUGCGUAAAUAUAUGGAGGAACACCGGUGGCGAAGGCGGCUUGCUGGGCCAUAACUGACACUGAGGCACGAAAGCGUGGGGAGCAAAC
rnacentral:rRNA from 1 species